UCGAUCAGAAGCAAGGGGAACCAAGGAGAACCCCUAGUUCCAUAAAUUCUCAAGAAUUAAAAGAGAUUAGGAGCCCAAACUAAUGCAUGAACUCAAAACUUUAAUCAUCUAAGCUUGUACAUCGAAUGGUAUAAAGGAAGAAAGUUCAAGUCAAGCAAAGUAAAAAGGGAAUCAAGAUCGAGGUAAAUCUCAAGUUUAGCUUUCAAGCUUUGCCCGGUUCGAACACACUUCAAGGCCCGUCUCAUGUUCCGCUACUUUUGUAAAGAAGACAAUGUUUAAUACUUUGGUCGCUUUGUCUAUAUCUAGUAGUUAAAACUUAGUUCUUGUUAUGUAUUUUGAAUUUAAUGAUUUUCGUAUGUGUGUCAAGGUUGUUUGAUGGUAUAUAUUAUGUCUUUUAAAAA